AGUGAACGCUGGCGGUAGGCCUAACACAUGCAAGUCGAACGGCAGCACAGUAAGAGCUUGCUCUUACGGGUGGCGAGUGGCGGACGGGUGAGGAAUACAUCGGAAUCUACUUUUUCGCGGGGGAUAACGUAGGGAAACUUACUCUAAUAUAGCAUACGACCUACGGGUGAAAGCAUGGGAUCUUCGGACCUUGCGCGAAUGAAUGCGCCGAUGUCGGAUUAGCUAGUUGGCGGGGUAUAGGCCCACCAAGGCGACGAUCCGUAGCUGGUCUGAGAGGAUGGUCAGCCAGACUGGAACUGAGACACGGUCCAGACUGCUACGGGAGGCAGCAGUGGGGAAUCUUGGACCAUGGGCGCGGGCCAGAGCCAGCUAUGCCGCGGGGGUGAGGAAGGCCUUCGCGUUGGAAAGCCCUUUUGUUGGGAAAGAAAAGCAGCAGGUUAAUGCCCCGGUGUUCUGACGGUACCCAAAUAAUAAGCAACGGCUAACUUCGUG
rnacentral:rRNA from 1 species